rnacentral:lncRNA from 1 species
AUGGAUAGAGGCAAUGAUUUUUUCAAGUAUUUGCUGUCCAGAGUGGUGGUUUCCUCUGUUGGAGGUAUUCCUAAGUACAACGUAGAUGAGGACACAGUGAUUCGUUAUAUGUGGGAUGUCCAUCAAGCAGCCGUUGAUGUUGGAAAAUCACAGCUCAGUGAUGUAUCAUUCUAUUCUUCUGAAACUGAACGAGACUUCUUCAUGGACUUUCUACUUGCAGUAGAAUUUUCUGUGGCAACAUUAUAUCGCCCCUACAUUAACAGUACGGCAGAAUUCCUAGUGGGUUUCCCACAUAGGCCACUCACAGACCAAGAUCGUAAUGUUCUUGCAAGUGACGUCACCGUACGGGAAAAAGCAUUUAUGAGUUCAGUGAAAUUCUUUUCGAGAACAAAUGAAGCUACAGGAGGGUUAUUUUUAACAGUUUGGAAGAUAGCCAUGACUUCAGAAGCUGGACAGGCUGCAGGACGAUUCCUCAUUAAAAGGCUUCUUUUAAUACCAAGUCUUUAAUGGCCUUUUUUUAAUGCCACUAUAUAUAAUCAACUUGAUUCCAUGAUUAAACGCAAUUAAACGCACAGUUGACUCAGUUCUUGGCCUAAGUAGAUAUUUUGUAAGUAUGUUCCAAAUGAUUGAGGCUACUCUGAACAAUACUAAAAAGCAUAAAAUGUCCUGUGACUUUGCUGUUAUAGCAAGAAUUCCUGCCAAAAUUCUGAAAUAAACACGAAUGGG